rnacentral:rRNA from 1 species
UGCCACCUACGGGGGGCAGCAGUGAGGAAUAUUGGUCAAUGGGCGGGAGCCUGAACCAGCCAAGCCGCGUGAAGGAAGAAGGCGCCAGGCGUCGUAAACUUCUUUUGUCGGGGAACAAAGGGCGCCACGCGUGGCGUUGUGAGUGUACCCGAAGAAAAAGCAUCGGCUAACUCCGUGCCAGCAGCCGCGGUAAUACGGAGGAUGCGAGCGUUAUCCGGAUUUAUUGGGCGUAAAGCGAGCGCAGGUGGUUUAUUAAGUCUGGUGUAAAAGGCAGUGGCUCAACCAUUGUAUGCAUUGGAAACUGG